GCAAGUCGAGCGAGAACCCGGUGCUUGCACCGGCAGACAGCGGCGAACGGGUGAGUAACACGUAAAUAAUCUGCCCUUUAGUUGGGGACAACCAUUCUAACGAAUGGCUAAUACCGAAUAUUGUUUUUAUAUCGCAUGAUAAAUUAACGAAAGGCCUUCGGGUCGCUAGAGGAUGAAUUUGCGUCCCAUUAGUUAGUUGGCGGGGUAACGGCCCACCAAGACAUCGAUGGGUAGCCGGCCUGAGAGGGUGAUC
rnacentral:rRNA from 1 species